UACGGAGGUGGCAAGCGUUGCUCGGAAUCACUGGGCGUAAAGGGCGCGUAGGCGGGGAGGUAAGUCGGGUGUGAAAUCCCUCGGCCCAACUGAGGAACUGCGCCCGAGACUGCUUCUCUUGAGUCCCGGAGAGGAAGAUGGAAUUCCCGGUGUAGCGGUGAAAUGUGUAGAGAUCGGGAGGAACACCAGUGGCGAAGGCGACUACAUGGCCUGUUCUUGACGCUGAGGCGCGAAAGCUAGGGGAGCAAACGGG
rnacentral:rRNA from 1 species